rnacentral:tRNA from 1 species
GUUCUUGUGGUUAAAUAAUAACAUUGGUUUUUCAAGCCAAAAUCCUUGGUUAGAGUCCGAGCAGGAAUU